rnacentral:rRNA from 1 species
ACCGGAAUGGACGGACCGCUGGUGUGCCGGUUGUGUCGCCAGACGCACCGCCGGGUAGCUACGUCCGGACGGGAUAACCGCUGAAAGCAUCUAAGCGGGAAGCCUCCCCCAAGAUCAGUUCUCCCGCGUCCUUUGAGACGCCUCAAGGUCCGUGGCAGACCACCACGUGGAUAGGCGUGGCGGUGGACGCGCCGUAAGGCGUGCAGCCGACCCGUACUAAUCGACCGUGCGGCUUGACCCG